UGCACCUCGCGUUAUUGGAGCGGCUGAUGUCUGAUUAGCUAGUUGGUGAGGUAAAGGCUUACCAAGGCGACGAUCAGUAGCUGGUCUGAGAGGACGGCCAGCCACACUGGGACUGAGACACGGCCCAGACUCCUACGGGAGGCAGCAGUGGGGAAUUUUGGACAAUGGGGGCAACCCUGAUCCAGCCAUGUCGCGUGAGUGAAGAAGGCCUUCGGGUUGUAAAGCUCUUUCGUCCGGAACGAAACGGUGGAUGCUGACACCAUCCAUUACUGACGGUACCGGAAGAAGAAGCACCGGCUAACUACGUGCCAGCAGCCGCGGUAAUACGUAGGGUGCGAGCGUUAAUCGGAAUUACUGGGCGUAAAGCGUGCGCAGGCGGUGGCUCAAGUCAGAUGUGAAAUCCCUAGGCUUAACCUGGGAAUUGCAUUUGA
rnacentral:rRNA from 1 species